rnacentral:rRNA from 1 species
GAUGAACGCUGGCGGCGUGCCUAAUACAUGCAAGUCGAGCGAACAGAUAAGGAGCUUGCUCCUUUGACGUUAGCGGCGGACGGGUGAGUAACACGUGGAUAACCUACCUAUAAGACUGGGAUAACUUCGGGAAACCGGAGCUAAUACCGGAUAACAUAUUGAACCGCAUGGUUCAAUAGUGAAAGGCGGCUUUGCUGUCACUUAUAGAUGGAUCCGCGCCGUAUUAGCUAGUUGGUAAGGUAACGGCUUACCAAGGCAACGAUACGUAGCCGACCGGAGAGGGUGAUCGGCCACCCUGGAACUGGACCGCGGUCCAGACGCCUACGGGAGGCAGCAGUAGGGAAUCUUCCGCAAUGGGCGGAAGCCUGACGGAGCAACGCCGCGUGAGUGAUGACGGUCUUCGGAUCGUAAAACCCUGUUAUCAGGGAAGAACAAAUGUGUAAGGAACUGUGCACAUCUUGACGGUACCUGAUCAGAAAGCCACGGCUAACUACGUG